AGGGUUUGAUUAUGGCUCAGGAUGAACGCUGGCGGCGUGCCUAACACAUGCAAGUCGAACGAAGUUACACAGAGGAAGUUUUCGGAUGGAAUCGGUAUAACUUAGUGGCGGACGGGUGAGUAACGCGUGGGAAACCUGCCCUGUACCGGGGGAUAACACUUAGAAAUAGGUGCUAAUACCGCAUAAGCGCACGGAACCGCAUGGUUCUGUGUGAAAAACUCCGGUGGUACAGGAUGGUCCCGCGUCUGAUUAGCCAGUUGGCAGGGUAACGGCCUACCAAAGCGACGAUCAGUAGCCGGCCUGAGAGGGUGAACGGCCACAUUGGGACUGAGACACGGCCCAA
rnacentral:rRNA from 1 species